CUACGGGGGGCAGCAGCAAGGAAUAUUGUCCAAUGGGGGAAACCCUGAGACAGCAACGCCGCGUGAAGGAAGAAGGCCUUCGGGUUGUAAACUUCUGUUUUAGAGGAAGAAAAAAAUGACGGUACUCUUAGAGGAAGCCCCGGCAAACUACGUGCCAGCAGCCGCGGUAACACGUAGGGGGCGAGCGUUGUCCGGAAUCACUGGGCGUAAAGGGCGCGUAGGCGGUUUAUUAAGUUGCAUGUGAAAUCCCAGAGCUCAACUCUGGACCUGCAUGCAAAACUGGUAGACUUGAGUAUGGCAGAGGUAAGUGGAAUUCCUAGUGUAGCGGUGGAAUGCGUAGAUAUUAGGAGGAACACCAGUGGCGAAGGCGACUUACUGGGCCAAAACUGACGCUGAGGCGCGAAAGCGUGGGGAGCAAACAGGAUUAGAUACCCUUGUAGUC
rnacentral:rRNA from 1 species